ensembl:lncRNA EPIC1 epigenetically induced MYC interacting lncRNA 1
GCAAACACGAAGCUCUUCCAGAAACGCCCUCACAGACACCCCGGAAGUCACGUACCCACUCUGUAGGUGCCCCGGGGCACAGGCAAGCGGACGAGCCAGUUAUCCCUCAGAGCUCCUGCUGCCUCGCCCGCUUUCUCUCGGAAACGUGAAGUGUGGCCUCAGCUGAAAGUGAGGUGGGCCUCAUUCAAUCAGUUGAAUUCUUCAAGAGAGAAAAACUGAAGUCCCUUAGAAGGAAAGAGUUCUGCCUUCAGACUGUCUUUGAACUUAAGACUGUAGCGUCGACUCCUGCCGGAAUUUCCAGCCUGCUGGCCAGCUCUGCAGAUUCACACUUGCCAGCCUCCACAAUCUUCCUGGAUUUGAAACUGAAGAAGCAAGCAAUCUGGAAAUGUCAGUGGAUGCACACAAAGAAACAACCGCAAAAGCCUGCUCGCUCUAGCCAAGGGACAAGAAUAGGGGCAGUCCAUCAAGACAGAAUCCUUUUAAAAAAUAACCACUCCACUCCAGCAAUACCACAGAAGAAUCUGGCUGUACCCCAGGAGAGGUGAAAGGGGGAGAGGCUGAAAAGUACAUGAAGAAAUAAUGGCUGAAAAUGACCCAAAUUGUUAAGAUACAUAAACCUGCAGAUUCAAGAAGCUGAAAGAUGCUCCAACAGGAUAAACCUAAAGAAAUCUAUGCCAACAUGCAUCAUAAUUAAACUUCUGCAAAGCAAAAAACAAAACAUUUCUGAAAACAGCCAGGGGAAAAGAACACCCAACCUGGAAGGGAAAAACAAUUCGAAUGACAGUGGAUUUGUCAUCAGAAACCAUGGAAGCCAGGAGGAAAUGACACAAUAUUUUUCAGCUACUAAGAGCAAAAAACUGUCAUCCCAAAAUUCUAUACCCAUAAAAAUAUCUUUCAAGAAGGAAGGAGAAAUGAAGACAUUCUCAGAUGAAGGAAAACUGAGAGAAUGUAUCAGCAGCAGACCUAUCCUAACAAAAUAGCUAAAAAGAGUUCUCUAAACAGAAAGGAAAUGAUAAAAAGGAACCUUACAACAUCAAGAAGAAAAAAUGAUGAGCAAAGUAAAUAAAAAUAUGAAUAAA